AGGGAAUUUUCCGCAAUGGGCGAAAGCCUGACGGAGCAACGCCGCGUGAGUGAAGACGGCCUUCGGGUUGUAAAGCUCUGUUCUUGGGGAAGAAAAAAAUGACGGUACCCAAGGAGAAAGCCCCGGCUAACUACGUGCCAGCAGCCGCGGUAAUACGUAGGGGGCGAGCGUUAUCCGGAUUUAUUGGGCGUAAAGCGCGCGCAGGCGGUCAGGUAAGUCGGAUGUGAAAGGCUACUGCUCAACCGUAGAGCGGCAUCCGAAACUGUUUGACUUGAGUGCAGGAGAGGAGAGUGGAAUUCCCGGUGUAGCGGUGGAAUGCGUAGAGAUCGGGAGGAACACCAGUGGCGAAGGCGACUCUCUGGACUGUAACUGACGCUGAGGCGCGAAAGCGUGGGGAGCAAAC
rnacentral:rRNA from 1 species